GAAUACAACUCUGCCCAAAAGUUGGAGUAAAUCUGACAAUUUGAUCAGUUGUCAGCGUCUUCCUGCCGCGACCUCCCUGGCGUACCCUUGCCCCGCAUGCCCGAUAAGCUGACCGCUGGCCCGUAUAUAUAUAUCUGCAGAAUAACUGAACAACGAUCUCUAAGCUGUAACUAAGUAUCUCUGACCUCCAUCUUACACCACCUUGACGCAUCAUACUUUGUCUAGAACUAUGUGCAGCAGGCAGAGACAUCUAGCUGUUGAAUAAUAUACUACUAUCAAACGUCCUAUACAAGCAGUGGCACCUCGAAGAUGGAGGAGGAGGAAGGAGGCCCCGUUGUGCUGGAUACCAUCCAAAUGUAUAGUAAUAGAAAGUUCCUUCUCAAUACCGUAUACAUAAGGGCAAACAAGCCCGGGAGGGGAAAAGUCCUUGAAAGGAAAAGUGACUUGGCCAAAGUCAUAUAACAAUAAAUGCAGAUCACAAAUCCAGAUCCUGUGAUCCUGCCUACAUUCUGCACUGCUGUUAUGGCUUUCCUUUAGAAUACCAUUAUUUUUUAACACAAAAUCUUUCCUUAUUUUACAAUGAAAGAAAGUGAAGAACUAAAAUACAGUUAAAAAAAAAAAAGGUUGGUCAUUCUGAAUUCCUGUUAAUAAAAUAAAAUAAAAUAAAAAAAACAAAAAAACAGAAAUUACAAUGAUGCACCCUAUCUGAUUGAUGAAAACUUCUCUUGAUUUCAUCCAAAUUCUUUGGCGAGACAAAGAAGACAGUUUUUUUGUUGUUUUUUUUUGCUUAAAGAUUUGUGGUGCAUGUCUAUACUUUUAUAAAAUUCCUUUCAAGCUCUAUUUAAUAUGCAGCAGAAUUAUUGUACUUGCUAUAUAUCAACUUUAAAUCUGCUUCAAUACAACCUUAAAUGCCUUUCUGCAGUAUAUCACUUCGUCAGUCUAGCUUAACUAGAGCUGCUUUAUCAUUUUUUAUUGCCCCCAUAAAAUCUAGAAAUUGAUCACUUUCAUUUGUCUAGCAGUAAUUUUUAUUACUUAGGCUUUUUUUAAAGUACUUGUCAAUGAGAUACAGUACUUGCACAGAGUACAUUUUUCAGCUCAACAUUAUAUUUUUAUUUCAUUUUAUUUUAGACAGAAUGCAUAACAUUCAUCUAAAUAAUAACUAUGGUAUUUCAAAUGAGUGUAUUAUGAAUAUAAUUAGAAUGGAUAUAAACCUACUUCGUCCAUCAAGAUUCCUAUAUUUUGUUGCCUGCAUCUAAGUGUAUGGCAUCUUUCAAGUAAGCUUUUAAUGAUAACUCACAUUGUGCUUUUAAUGCUGCACAUAACAUCAUAUCACAACAUGGGGGAGGGAGGGAAAUUAGUUUCUUGUCAUUUUUAUGUUUUAAUUUCAAUUUUUUAGAGCUGUCUAGAUUUUUCCUUGGAGUGAGUUGUACCAGAACUUUUUAUUCCCCCCCACAACCUUAGGCAUAUAGAAAUUGCCAUAUUAGAUCAGGCCGAUGAUCUAUCUAGUCUAGUAGUCUGCCUGUUUCCUAGACUCGUAAGAGGAAAAUGUAAAAUAUGAUGCUACAUGUUAUGGAAAUGUCUGUUCACUGGGAGAGAUUCUUCCUAACCCGCUUCAGUUUUAGUUUAGUGUGUGCCCUGUAGCAUGAAGAUUUAUAGCCUUCCCCAAAAAAUGGAGAUACCGUUGUUUAAUUCUCCCCUUCCCUUCCCUCAUUGGAGAUAUCAGUUCUAGUCUAGGUCCUGCUGCCUUUCUUGAUUUUCCUCAGACAAGUCAUUGCACCUUUCUGUUCCUUGAUUUCCUGUUCUGUUAUUAUCCUGACCUUAGGUUAAAGUCUUGAGGACCUACAAAUCAAAUAUACAAUUUAAGAUCUAGACAGUAUUGGAUUUAAAGCAUAUUUUAAUUCUUAAUAUUGUACCUGCAGAUGUUCACACCAUUCAUCUAAAUGUCCAGUUCUUUGGUAAUGCUGAACAUCUCUUCGCCCCACUGAUGUAUUGUGGCUCUAUGUUCCAUGCUCUAAUUGUAUACUAUGUAAGAAUUAUUUUUUUUGUUUUUAAUCAGUGAAAGUGAACUGUUACUUUCCAGAAAUCUUAGGGACUGAAUGUGGCACUGGGUAGGGAGGCAGCUUUGCAUUUCAACUGAUGUGUGAAAUUGUGUGUUUACAGUCAGCAUUCGUAUUAAAACAUCCAAUUAGGUUU